GCCGCCUUAGCUCAGUUGGUUAGAGCGCCUGAUUGUGGAUCAGGAGGUCCCCCGUUCAAGCCGGGGAGGUGGUACCA
rnacentral:tRNA from 8 species